rnacentral:misc_RNA from 1 species
GUGAAUCAUCGAAUCUUUGAACGCAAAUUGCACUCUCCUCGAAGAGUAUGCGUGUUUGAGUGUCAGCCUAUAAAAAAUCGACAUCGUUGCUGUUUCGCGGUGGCGGUCGUCGGACACUGGGUCAUCUUAAUUCCUUUUUCUUUAAGCGACUUAAAAUUUUCUUUUGGUUCUAUGUACGUUUCUAUGAUCUAUUUUUUUACCCUUUUAAUGUAUGGCUUUUUUGUAG